UACGUAGGGGGCAAGCGUUGUCCGGAUUUAUUGGGCGUAAAGAGCGUGUAGGCGGUUAGGUAGGUCCGUUGUGAAAACUCAAGGCUCAACCUCGAGACGCCGAUGGAAACCAUCUAACUAGAGUCCGGAAGAGGAGAGUGGAAUUCCUGGUGUAGCGGUGAAAUGCGCAGAUAUCAGGAAGAACACCCGUGGCUAAGGCGGCUCUCUAGUACGGUACUGACGCUGAGACGCGAAAGCGUGGGGAGCGAACAGG
rnacentral:rRNA from 1 species